GAGAGAAUAUGGAUUUAGAAGAGAGCCUUGCUGAGUUCUGCCUCUCUGUUGACAAACUGUGAGACAAGCAAGCUCAUGACCACCUGAGCCUCUGAGCCCAGGCUAUAACAGAGGUCAGACAGGUUGAAAUUACCCCAUGUGUGCAAUAUCUGACACAGUGUAAAACUUGUGUCCACACCAUGGAUGCCCUCUGAGACCACAUGAGACCUUUGACCGUGAUCUCCUUUGAACUAGCUGAUGGCCCUCCCAACUGGUAACAAUUACUUUUUGAGGUAAAUUGCCAGAGGUGUGAGAGGAUAAAGGAGAAUGCGUCCCUAAGGGGUCUGUGGAGAUCCUGCGCUCACACCUCCCGGAGCAGCCCCCUCAGUGCAGAAACUGUAUCUAAAUACAGGGAGUGGUUCCACACACAGGGGCGGGGCUGGCUUCCUGGGAAGAAAUUGAACCUCUCCGGUUUUGCCUGGUCUAAAAGGAGCUGUUCCAUGGUUACCCACCGUGGGCUUUGUGAUUGGCUGACUGUGGUGAUGGAGGUGGGGAGUAAGCGCUGAUGGAGCUGCAGCAUCCCUUAGCCUCAGGUCCCUGGGAGGGGGAGGGACCAGGAAGGGGGAGGGAAUAGGAGCCAUUUCUCUGCGCUGACCGGCCUCCACGCUUGCAGCUCUCAUUUCCCCGGAAUCCAGGCUACUCCCCUGCUUAGCAUUGCACCAUGCUGGAUAUUUUCAUCCUCAUGUUCUUUGCCAUCAUAGGCCUGGUGGUUCUGUCCUACAUUAUCUAUCUGCUCUAGCGGCCUGGAGCUGCAGGGGCUGCGAGGGGAAGAAGGAUGGAGCCGAAGCGCCGAGCAUCCUGCUUGCUGACACACCGGUGGAUUUUUGCUUCUGGUCAUUAUUCGGCUCCGGUGUUCCGUCCAGCGAGAGGGCUCUGCCCAAUAGCAGGAGUCCUGAGGCCCAACUGACUUCUUCCAAUGUGUCGGGAUGUGGCUAACCCUUGGCAAGCAGGGGCUCUAUGAGGCAGAGGCACUCCUGGGGACAUCAGGAGUUCAAGGAUACCACUGGCAGCUGCUGCAUGUGUUUAAGCUGUAGACAGGGUGUAUUGGAAAUGUGGAAGGUUGAAACGUACAAACAGUAAAACCACAGUGGAGAACUGCCAAAGCAUUCAUAUGGGCAACCUUUCCUUAGAUCUAAAUACAGCCGCACGAAAGCAGGCGUUCCCUUGUAAACUCAAGGGCAAAUUCAGCUUGUCUGUCCUAUCGGUGUCUUUAUAGAUUGUGCAGUCUGAGGUCGUCGUGUAGUUUCCCUGAUUGCUAGCCUCCCCACCCCCCAAAAACCCUGUCAUUUGCACUUUUUAAGAUUUAUUUCUUCCCUCCUUGUCCCAUUUGUCCCCAGCUUCUGUCUGAUGAGAGACAUGGCUGUGAAGUUCUUAUUCUUUGUGCCUACCUAUAAAGCAUUGAAACAAAAUGUCUAUAUUAAUUUAGGAAAAUAAAUUUUACCCCUAAGGGAGGGGCUUUAAAACUUUGAUUGUUAAAUGCUCCUUCUGUUUAGAAAACAAAACUGUUUUCGUAUUUCCAUGUCUAGUUAGGGUGGGGAAAAAAAAAGUUUUAGGAUAUACAGUGGUUUUGGCCUCAAAUCUAUGGCGUCUGCUAUUCCCUUGGAGACUCCAUCAUACUUAUUCUACAUUGAUUUUCUUUUCUAGAUUAAAAAUAAACAAGGAAAAUGAA